AGCAAUACCUCGCUGAUACGGGGGUGGAUCCGAAGCCUCUAGAAGGUUGACAUAGGCUCUCCACCUCCUACUCCUACUCAAUACGUCCCUGUCGUACAGAACGGUAACAUGUCUCUCAAUUAUCCAAGCUUGGGUAUACGGGGAUACCCAACCCCUUGGGCGGAUAUGCAACCCAUCCCCAACGUUGGCUACAUUGAGAGGG
rfam:Anopheles gambiae M scf_1925491360 genomic scaffold, whole genome shotgun sequence.